UGGCUCAGUGGUAGAGUGCUUGCCUUGCAUGCAAGAGGCCCUGGGUUCAAUUCUUCAG
rnacentral:tRNA from 1 species